AGUGAACGCUGGCGGUAGGCCUAACACAUGCAAGUCGAACGGCAGCACAGAGGAGCUUGCUCCUUGGGUGGCGAGUGGCGGACGGGUGAGGAAUACAUCGGAAUCUACUCUGUCGUGGGGGAUAACGUAGUGAAACUUACGCUAAUACCGCAUACGACCUACGGGUGAAAGCAGGGGAUCUUCGGACCUUGCGCGAUUGAAUGAGCCGGUGGCGGAUUAGCUAGUUGGCGGGGUAAAGGCCCACCAAGGCGACGAUCCGUAGCUGGUCUGAGAGGAUGAGCAGCCACAGUGGAACUGAGAGACGGUCCAGAUUGCUACGGGAGGCAGCAGUGGGGAAUAUUGGACAAUGGGCGCAAGCCUGGUCCAGCCAUACCGCGUGGGUGAAGAAGGCCUUCGGGUUGUAAAGCCCUUUUGUUGGGAAAGAAAUCCAUCUGGUUAAUACCCGGGUGGGAUGACGGUACCCAAAGAAUCAGCACCGGCUAACUUCGUGCCAGCAGCCGCCGUAA
rnacentral:rRNA from 1 species